GACGAACGCUGGCGGCGUGCUUAACACAUGCAAGUCGAACGGAAAGGCCCUGCUUUUGUGGGGUGCUCGAGUGGCGAACGGGUGAGUAACACGUGAGUAACCUGCCCUUGACUUUGGGAUAACUUCAGGAAACUGGGGCUAAUACCGGAUAGGAGCUCCUGCUGCAUGGUGGGGGUUGGAAAGUUUCGGCGGUUGGGGAUGGACUCGCGGCUUAUCAGUUUGUUGGUGGGGUAGUGGCUUACCAAGGCUUUGACGGGUAGCCGGCCUGAGUGGGUGACCGGCCUCAUUGGGACUGAGAUACGGCCCAGACUCCUACGGGAGGCAGCAGUGGGGAAUAUUGCACAGUGGGCGGAAGCCUGAUGCAGCAACGCCGCGUGCGGGAUGACGGCCUUCGGGUUGUAAACCGCUUUCGCCUGUGACGAAGCGUGAGUGACGGUAAUGGGUAAAGAAGCACCGGCUAACUACGUG
rnacentral:rRNA from 1 species